rnacentral:lncRNA from 1 species
ACUUUUGGUAUAGCAUUGGAAAUGUAAAUGAGCUAAAUACCUAAUAAAAAAUGGAACGAAAAAAAAAAAAAAAAAGAAAAUCGCAGUCUUACUCAAAACACAUAGAUUGCAAUUGUGGUGUUCUGCUUUACAGUAAAAACAUGACUCAAGUCUUCUUAUAAUAAAAAAGGAACUAUUAGCUUCAUCUGAGGUCACUAUUUAGAACACCAGCAGGAAGUUCCUGGUUUUGAACUACCUAGUGACUGACAAAGGUGGAGCUAGUGACUUAGGAAGCCAAUUGUUAGGGUGACUUAGUUUGGUUCAGUGUGGGAAUUUCAGUUCUACACUUGUUACAUUAAAAAAGAAAGAUUUAUUUAUGUUAUGUAUGUGAGUACCCUGUAACUUGCUUCCAAUUCAUCAGAAGAGGGCAUCCAAUCUCAUCACAGAUGGCUGUGAGCCACCAUGUGGUUGCUGGGAAUUGAACUCAGGACCUCUGGAGGAGCAGUCAGUGCUUUUAACUGUUGAACCAUCUCUCCACUCCAAUACAUUUAAUCUUAAAAUCUGUUUUAUUUUUUCAAUGGAUUAUUAACAUGUGGUCCCAUCAUUUUGUGUCUAUCUAGAAUUUUAGAAGCUUUUCAAGAGAAAUAAGUUAUUGAAACAAAUAUAAUAUCAAGGAACUUAGUAAUGCCAGAAUCACUUAAUUUUUAAUAGUUAAAUCCCAAAUUUAAAAUACCUUUCAUUGAUUCUGAGUUAUUUAUUUUUGUGUCAAUUACUGAGUAAACAAAUUUAUGAGUAAGGAGCCAUAAAAUUUUUCUAAGACAUAAGAAUAGAUUCAUCUGAACUUCAAGAAUUAACUUAGAAGACUAGAUAUAUUGGUACAUGCUACUGAUAUAAGCACCAGGGAAAUAGAGAGGGGGGGAAUUGACGUAUGAGGCCAGCCUUGGCUACAGAAAAAAGAUUUUACUUGAUAUUAGGGUGUGAAUUUAUUCUGAAACUCUGCUUCCUUCAUCAAUCUGGCAAGUUAGGACAUGGAGUUUAAUAAGAAUUGAGUAAAACAGGGAAGAUAUGUGAAUUUGAUGAAGCUUCCUGGCAAUUAGAGCAAUUUAUUUCACUAUUAAUGUGACAUGCUCGAAAUAGAAAUCAGCUAUGGAUGAACAUGCAAUUUUGUUGCUGGGUAUUCCCAGUGCCAUGUAAUUAAAUAAAGAAAUAGGGUCAAGAGGCAAAGAGGUGUUUUCUUCUGACUCCUCCUGCAGAGCACUCAUCUAUCAUGUCUGUGUUUGCUGCCUCUUAGGAAUGGGUGAUGUUUAUUUGUAAGAAGGUGGUAUUUGGAAAGGUUUUUCCACUCCAAAUAUUAUAUUAGAAGUGAAAAACAAUUCUCCUGUAUCAGAAACACCAGAGCAAUCUAAUGUAUCAUUUUGUGUGUGGUAUAAGAGUUUAGCAGUGAUAUAAGAGCUUUUACCACUUGAUUUUAAAUGAGAUAAAAAGAGUACCAAUAUAAAUUAUCUACCAUCAUGAUAAUAGAUACAUGUUUUAAGCUAUAAAACAUUAGGUUUGGAAUAUCUAUUCAUUACAAUCAUCUGUUGUCUAUCUCUCUGUCAUUUAUCUUGUAUCUUACAUUUCAACAAUAUCUUUUGUCUAUAUACAUAUUUGUUUCUAUAUGUCAUAUAUUUCUAUCUAUUAUCUAAGUCUCUACUAUAUAUAUAUAAACAGUAUUACUUAUCUACUAUAUGUAUAUAUAUGUGUGUGUAUGUAUCUAUAUAUCUAUCUAACACUUAACUACUUUCUGUGUUGGCCUGUGUUCCUAGAACUCAAUUAUCUUUUAUCUUUUUUGAUAGCUGAAACAAGAAUAAAUAUGGCAGAUUCACUUGAAUACAUAUCAGUGGGUCCAAGUUAAUUACUUUAAGUGAAGGUAUGAACUAUUUUAUGUAUGUGUAUAUAUGUGUGUGUGUGCAUUAUGUAUUUAUUUUUGUACACUUUACUUAACAUGCAAGGAUAUAAUAGAAAAUAAUCUAUAAUUAUAUCAAUAUUUAAGUCAAUUAUGAUUUAUUUUUGUGAUCUGAAAUGUAUUUUAUCAUGUCCUGGUAUUUGCUUCAUUGCAUAUCUUAAUCAAAUCAACAAACUAGAAUAGAAUAUUUUGCAUUCUAAUUUUGUUAUAGUAGUGAAUGUUGAAAAAUG